rnacentral:lncRNA from 1 species
ACACCACAUCAAGGGAGAACCCCUUGGAACAAAAGUAUCUGAACAGCAGCCCUUGAGUCCCAUGUCUCCCCUCUGACACAGUCACCCAAAUGAGAAGGAACCAGAAAAACAAUUCUGGUAAUAUGACAAAACAAGCUCUUUAACAACCCCCAAAAGAUCACACCGGCUCACCAGCAAUGGAUCCAAACCAAGAUAAAAUAUCUGGAUUGCAAGAAAAAGAAUUCAGAAGGUUAAUUAUUAAGCUAAUCAAGGAGGCACAGAGAAAAGUGAACUCCAACUUAAAGAAAUCGAAAACCUGAUACAGAAUAUGAAAGGAAAAUUCUUCAGUGAAAUAGCGUAAAUAAAAAAUGAUCACAACUUCUAGAAAUCAAAGAAACACUUAGAGAAAUGCAAAAUGCACUGGAAAGUCUCAGCAACAGAAUCGAACAAGCAGAAAAAAGUACUUCCGAGCUUGAAGACAAGGCUUUCGAGUUAACCCAAUCCAUCAAAGACAAAGAAAAAAGAAUUUUAAAAAAUGAGCCAAGCAUCCAAGAAGUUUGGGACUAUGUUAAGCAUGCAAAUCUAAGAAUAACUGGUGUUCCCAAGACAAAAAAAAAGAAAUCUAAAAGUUUGGAAACAUUAUUUGAGGGAAUAAUCAAGGAAAACUUGUCUGACCUUGCUAGAGAUCUAGACAUCCAAAUACAAGCUCAAAGAACACCUGGGAAACUCAUCACUUAGACACACAGUCAAGAGGUUAUCCAAAGCAAAGAUGAAGGAAAGACUCUCAAGAGCUGUGAGGCAAAAGCAUCAGGUAACCUAUAAAAGAAAACCUAUCAGAGCAACAGCAGAUUUCUGAGCAGAAACUGUCAGAGGCAUGCAUGUGAACCAGGGCAACUCUAUCUUUAAUAGGAGCUGAGUUAAAUGAGGCUAAGACUUACUGGGCUGCAUUCCCAGACAGUUAGGGCAUUCUAAGUCACAGGAUGAGACUGGAAGUCGGCACACAAUACAGGUCAUAAGUACCUUGCUGAUAAAACAGGUUGCAGUAAGGAAGCCGGCUAAAACUCACCAAAACCAAGAUAGUGAUAAGAGUGACCAGAGGUCACUGGUGGUCCUCACUGCUACACUCCCAUCAGUGCCAUGACAGUUUACAAAUGCCAUGGCAACGUCAGGAAGUUACCCUAUAUGGUCAAAAAAGGGGAGGCAUGGAUAAUUCACCCCUUGUUUAGCAUAUAAUCAAGAAAUAACCAUAAACAUGGACAACCAGCAGCCCUCGGGGCUGCUCUAUGGAGUAGCCAUUCUUUUGUUCCUUUACUUUCCUAAUAAACUUGCUUUCACUUUACUCUAUGGACUCACCCUGAAUUAUUUCUUGCAUGAUAUCUAUGAACCUUUUACCACUUCUAUUCAACAUAGUACUGGAAGUCCUAGCCAGAGCAAUCAGACAAGAGAAAGAAAUCAAAGGUAUCCAAAUCAGUAGAGGAAGUCAAACUGUUGCUGUUUGUUUGCUGAUGAUAUGAUUGUAUACCUAGAAAACCCCAAAGACUCAUCCAAAAGCUCCUCGAACUAGUACAUGAAUUCAGCAAAGUUUCAGGAUACAAAAUUAAUGUACACAAAUCAGUAGCUCUGCUAUACAGCAACAGCAACCAGGCUGAGAAUCAAAUCAAGAACUCAAGCCCUUUUACAAUAGCUGCAAAAAUAAAAUAAAAUAAAAUACUUAGGAAUACACCUAACUAAGGAGGUGAAGACCUCUACAAGGAAAACUACAAAACACAGAUGACACAAACAAAAGGAAACAUGUCCCAUGCUCAUGGAUGGGUAGAAUCAAUAUUGUGAAAAUGGCCAUAUUGCCAAAAGCAAUCUACAAAUUCAAUACAAUUCCCAUCUAAACACCACUAUCAUUCUUCACAAAACUAGAAAAAAAAAAU